UAUAAUCGCAGUCAAUAUAGAGGAAUACAGGCUUACUACCCACCUGAGCUCUUCACCUGUGGCAGAUUCUACGCCACCUCUACAAACGUCUGGGCUCUAGGAGUGUUGUUGUAUGAGAUGGUGAACACGUGUUCUCCAUUUUGCAAUAUAACUGAAAUCACACAAGCCGAAAUUAGGUUUGAAAACCCAGAUUUAUCCAAAGAAUGCCGUGAUCUGAUCGUCCAGUGCCUAAACCGUGAUCCAACUGAACGGCUGACCCUCGAUCAGAUUUUGCAGCAUGACUGGUGUAAAACAGAGGAUCUAGAAGAGUCAGAGGAUUGAAACUGCAUACUGCAAACUGGCUUCAGAGUUGAGCCAGUGUAACAGACAGAGUAGGAAACUACAUCUGUGCUGUCAUCUUCAAUUCUGAAUCAUAUAUGAUGCAGAUUUAAAAUGUGAUUAGUGAAGGUUGGACACAAACCUUCCAGUGAAAAGGCACUAUGAAUUCACAUGCUGAUGGAAAUUGGAAACUCAAGCCCUCAUGUGAACCCAUUACUAAAGAAUCAGAGAGCUCGGAGCACCCCAGAAUUCAGAGCCAGUCCACAUCCUUACUGUUCCAUCCGAAAAUGAGCAGCGAUUAGCUCUAGACAUCA